ACGGGUGAGUAAUAUAUCGGAACGUGCCCAGUAGUGGGGGAUAGCCCGGCGAAAGCCGGAUUAAUACCGCAUACGACCUAUGGGUGAAAGCGGGGGAUCGCAAGACCUCGCGCUAUUGGAGCGGCCGAUAUCAGAUUAGGUAGUUGGUGGGGUAAAAGCCUACCAAGCCGACGAUCUGUAGCUGGUCUGAGAGGACGACCAGCCACACUGGGACUGAGACACGGCCCAGACUCCUACGGGAGGCAGCAGUGGGGAAUUUUGGACAAUGGGCGCAAGCCUGAUCCAGCCAUGCCGCGUGCGGGAAGAAGGCCUUCGGGUUGUAAACCGCUUUUGUCAGGGAAGAAACGCGCUGAGCUAAUACCUCGGCGUAAUGACGGUACCUGAAGAAUAAGCACCGGCUAACUACGUGCCAGCAGCCGCGGUAAUACGUAGGGUGCAAGCGUUAAUCGGAAUUACUGGGCGUAAAGCGUGCGCAGGCGGCUUUGCAAGACAGAUGUGAAAUCCCCGGGCUUAACCUGGGAACUGCAUUUGUGACUGCAUGGCUGGAGUGCGGCAGAGGGGGAUGGAAUUCCGCGUGUAGCAGUGAAA
rnacentral:rRNA from 1 species